ensembl:sense_intronic Gm43773 predicted gene 43773
UGAACCUCCCUGCACAUGGCUGCACAUGUGUGUGCGCACACAAACCACACACACAUAUGGCUGCACAUGUGUGCUCACACACAAACCACACACACAACAUAGACUUUUGGUUUACAUAGUUUGUGAUGAGAAGUUUGCUCCGUUUAUUUUUUGGUCUUUUUUAUAUAAUAUUUUAACUCCCUCUGGCUGUCUUCAAGGUUUUUUUCUUAAUCUUUGAUUUAUGUAAGUCUUAAGAUGGUUUUUCUCAGUAUUUAUCCUGUUUAGGGAAGCUGAUUUAGUAUCUUUUGUUAAUUUCUUUUAAAAGAUUUUUUUAAAGAUUUAUUUUAUGUGUAUGGGUGUUUUGCCUGCAUGUAUGUGUGUCACAUGCAUACCUGUUGUUCUUGGAGACCACAGGAGGGUGUAGAAUCCCUUGGAACUGGAGUUACCAAGUCACCAUGUGGCUGAUGAGAACUGUACCUGGGUCUUCUGGAAUAUCGGUCAGUGCUCUUAACUGUUGAGAUGUUUCUCCUGCCUCCUCAUGUCCUCCCGAGAUUCCGGUUUCUUGUUUGUUAGACUGGUAUUGGGCUGAAGCUUUUGGAUGGCCUAGCUAUUCUCUUCUCUUGUUCUAUCCUGUGCUCUCUUGUCUUCUUAUCUUAUUGGUGGUGGGCUUCAGUUCCUUUUGGGUGGCUGCUAUUGCUGUUGAGAGUGGCAGCUGGGGAGGCAGCUCAGGGGUUCUCAGUGUUCUUCCAUUGCUACCUGAGUGUUUAUACAACAGACAAGUUCUCUUUUUUUGUUUCAUUUAUUUAUAUUUACUUACUUCCUGUUAUUUGUUUGUUUGUUGUGGAUGUGUAUGGAGGUCUGAAGACAUCUCAGGAGAUUUUCCACUAUCUGGGUUUUUUUUUUUUUUUAAGAUUUACUUAUUUUAUUUAUAUGAGUACAGUGUACUUGUCUUUAGACACACCAGAAGAGGGCAUCAGAUCCUAUUACAGAUGGUUGUGAGCCACCAUGUGGUUGCUGGGAAUUGAACUCAGGACUUCUUGAAGAGCAGUCAGUGCUCUUAAUGGCUGAGCCAUCUCUCCAGCCCCACCAUAUGGGUUUUGAGGUGUGUGUGUGUGUGUGUACUAGACAGGGUAGUAACUUUGUAUGUAGCUCAGGAUGUAGCUCUGGUUUCCUGGAACUCACUGUGUCAGCCAAGGUGCCCUCGAAUUCACAGAGACCUACCUGCCUCUGCCCCCAGAGUGCUGAGAUUAAAUGCGUGCACCAACAUACCUGGCAUUGUAUAGCUUUUUAAAAAACACAAUAAAUUAUAAAGUGUUGGGGUUCAAACCAAGGGCCUUGAGUAUGUUGGACAAGUGGUCUAUGAGUGAGGUACAUCCCCAGCUAGAAUAGCUCUUAUUCUAGGAGUAAGAUUUAUUUGUUUGUUUGUUUGUUUUUCAAGACAGGAUUUCUCUGUUUAACAGUCCUGGCUGUCCUGGAACUCAAUUGUAGACAAGGCUGGCCUCAAACUCAGAGAUCUGCCUGCCUCAGCCUUCUGAGUGCUGGAAUUAAAGGCAUGCACCACCACUACCACCCUAGAACUAAUUUAGUCUCUUUCCUAGAACAGGCCUUUUGUGUUCUCUUCUAAAAGCCACAAAAUUCAGGGAAGUCUGGUUUUUGUUUUUGUUUGUUUGUUUUUGUUUUUUUUUCCUGGUUGGAGGAAAGUUGAAUUGUUCUAAACCCAGUGUGAACUCUGAGAGUUGUUCAUUUACCUUACCCCCUGGUGAGAGUUCUUUCCUUGGGUUGCUGUUCAGUUAGAAUUGAAGGUGACCUGGAGCCUGCCUGUGUUUAGCACCCUCUUGUGGUGCUUAGCCCUACAAAUUUAGCUGCUUUGGCCUACUUGGUUCAUGUGGCCUCCCUGAGCCAUUCUUUAGAAGUUACCCAGGCAGAGAUCUGCCUAGGAGUUAUAGGGCUCAUCUUUCUUGUUUCCUUGUCUUAGUGAUCAGUUAAUAGCUGCCCAUUGCCUCAUGUCUGGAAGAGUUGUUUGUGUUUUAUGUCCAGUUUCCUAUUAUUUAUAGUAAGAGGUUGACUAUAGACCACUUGAGGACAUCCAGCUUAGGUGUCCUAUAAAGCAUUAUGUAGUAUUUAGGGAAAAUAAAAAAUAAUUUAACUGUUAUUGACUUCAAAAGAAAUAUGACAAGUUAAAAAAG